rnacentral:rRNA from 1 species
CCUACGGGAGGCAGCAGUGGGGGAUAUUGCACAAUGGGGGAAACCCUGAUGCAGCGACGCCGCGUGAGCGAUGAAGUAUUUCGGUAUGUAAAGCUCUAUCAGCAGGGAAGAAAAUGACGGUACCUGACUAAGAAGCCCCGGCUAACUACGUGCCAGCAGCCGCGGUAAUACGUAGGGGGCAAGCGUUAUCCGGAUUUACUGGGUGUAAAGGGAGCGUAGACGGCAGUGCAAGUCUGAAGUGAAAGGCAAGGGCUCAACCCUUGGACUGCUUUGGAAACUGUGCUGCUGGAGUGUCGGAGAGGCAA